UACGAAGGGGGCUAGCGUUGUUCGGAUUUACUGGGCGUAAAGCGCACGUAGGCGGAUCUUUUAAGUCAGAGGUGAAAUCCCAAGGCUCAACCUUGGAACUGCCUUUGAUACUGGGUAUCUCGAGUAUGGAAGAGGUGAGUGGAAUUCCGAGUGUAGAGGUGAAAUUCGUAGAUAUUCGGAGGAACACCAGUGGCGAAGGCGGCUCACUGGUCCAUUACUGACGCUGAGGUGCGAAAGCGUGGGGAGCAAACAGG
rnacentral:rRNA from 1 species